ensembl:snRNA U6 U6 spliceosomal RNA
AUGCUUGCUUUGACAGGACAUAUACUAAAACUGGACAAUACAGAAAAGAUUAGCAUGGCCUCUACUCAAUGAAGACAUGAAAUUUAUGAAGCACUUUAUAUUUAA